rnacentral:rRNA from 1 species
CCUGGUCUCGCGAUGCCCAUACAGUUUAAUUUGAUCAUGGCUCAGAACCAACGGGUGGUAGCGUGCCUAACACAUGCGAGUCGAACGAGAAAGUCCGCAAGUGAUGAGUAAAGUGGCGAACGGGUGAGUAACACGUGACUACCUACCCUCGAGUGGGGGAUAACCCCGGGAAACCGGGGCUAAUACCUGCAUAAUCUCGCAGUGAGCAAAUGCGCAAGCAGCUUGAGUGANGUGGGGUCUGCGGCUGAUUAGCUAUGUUGGUGAUGGUAACGGCUCACCAAGGCGAUGAUCAGUAGCCGGCCUGAGAGUGGCGCACUGUGCCACACUGGAACUGAAACACGGUCCAGACUCCUACUGGGAGAGCAGCAGUGGGUGAAUUUUGCGCAAUGGGUGGAAACCCUGACUGCAGCAACUGCCGCUGUGUGAGGAUGA